GCGAAGGAGAAGAAAGGAGAAAAAGAAAAGAAAGAAAUAAAAAGAUUUAGCCGUCCGAUUCCAAUUCCGACUUGGGUGUACGUUGGAGGAGAUUUGGAUGAAGUUAUAAAAUCCAGAAAGUAUCGGUAGGAGGUACGCAUGGCACCUCCGGGACAGGGGACGUCUCGGGAGAUAGAAAGACGGGCUGAAUGAGUGAACUGCAUCUGAUGUAUUAUAUGUAAAUUCUAACUAGAAAAACCUCCCG